rnacentral:pre_miRNA from 1 species
CAUCUACUCCCUCCGUUCGGAAUUACUUGUCGCAAAAAUGGAUGUAUCUAGAUGUAUUUUAGUUCUAGAUACAUCCAUUUCUGAGACAAGUAAUUCCGAACGGAGGGAGUACAAG